rnacentral:rRNA from 1 species
UUAUCGUUUAUUUGAUAGUACCUUACUACAUGGAUAACCGUGGUAAUUCUAGAGCUAAUACAUGCUAAAAACCUCGACUUCGGAAGGGGUGUAUUUAUUAGAUAAAAAACCAAUGCCCUUCGGGGCUCCUUGGUGAAUCAUAAUAACUUAACGAAUCGCAUGGCCUUGCGCCGGCGAUGGUUCAUUCAAAUUUCUGCCCUAUCAACUUUCGAUGGUAGGAUAGUGGCCUACCAUGGUAUCAACGGGUAACGGGGAAUUAGGGUUCGACUCCGGAGAGGGAGCCUGAGAAACGGCUACCACAUCCAAGGAAGGCAGCAGGCGCGCAAAUUACCCAAUCCCGACACGGGGAGGUAGUGACAAUAAAUACUGAUACAGGGCUCUUUUGGGUCUUGUAAUUGGAAUGAGUACAAUUUAAAUCCCUUAACGAGGAACAAUUGGAGGGCAAGUCUGGUGCCAGCAGCCGCGGUAAUUCCAGCUCCAAUAGCGUAUAUUAAAGUUGUUGCAGUUAAAAAGCUCGUAGUUGAACCUUGGGCCUGGCUGGCCGGUCCGCCUCACCGCGUGUACUGGUCCGGCCGGGCCUUUCCUUCUGGGGAACCUCAUGCCCUUCACUGGGCGUGUUGGGGAACCAGGACUUUUACUUUGAAAAAAUUAGAGUGUUCAAAGCAGGCCUUUGCUCGAAUACAUUAGCAUGGAAUAAUAGAAUAGGACGUGUGGUUCUAUUUUGUUGGUUUCUAGGACCGCCGUAAUGAUUAAUAGGGAUAGUCGGGGGCAUCAGUAUUCAAUCGUCAGAGGUGAAAUUCUUGGAUUGAUUGAAGACUAACUACUGCGAAAGCAUUUGCCAAGGAUGUUUUCAUUAAUCAGUGAACGAAAGUUAGGGGAUCGAAGACGAUCAGAUACCGUCGUAGUCUUAACCAUAAACUAUGCCGACUAGGGAUCGGACGGUGUUAGUAUUUUGACCCGUUCGGCACCUUACGAGAAAUCAAAGUUUUUGGGUUCUGGGGGGAGUAUGGUCGCAAGGCUGAAACUUAAAGAAAUUGACGGAAGGGCACCACCAGGCGUGGAGCCUGCGGCUUAAUUUGACUCAACACGGGGAAACUCACCAGGUCCAGACACAAUAAGGAUUGACAGAUUGAGAGCUCUUUCUUGAUUUUGUGGGUGGUGGUGCAUGGCCGUUCUUAGUUGGUGGAGUGAUUUGUCUGCUUAAUUGCGAUAACGAACGAGACCUUAACCUGCUAAAUAGCCAGGCCCGCUUUGGCGGGUCGCCGGCUUCUUAGAGGGACUAUCGGCUCAAGCCGAUGGAAGUUUGAGGCAAUAACAGGUCUGUGAUGCCCUUAGAUGUUCUGGGCCGCACGCGCGCUACACUGACAGAGCCAACGAGUUCAUUUCCUUAGCCGAAAGGUUUGGGUAAUCUUGUUAAACUCUGUCGUGCUGGGGAUAGAGCAUUGCAAUUAUUGCUCUUCAACGAGGAAUGCCUAGUAAGCGCAUGUCAUCAGCAUGCGUUGAUUACGUCCCUGCCCUUUGUACACACCGCCCGUCGCUACUACCGAUUGAAUGGCUCGGUGAGGCCUUCGGACUGGCCCAGGGAGGUCGGCAACGACCACCCAGGGCCGGAAAGUUGGUCAAACCCGGUCAUUUAGAGGAAGUAAAAGUCGUAACAAGGUCUCCGUAGGUGAACCUGCGGAGGGAUCAUUACAAGUGACCCCGGCUACGGCCGGGAUGUUCAUAACCCUUUGUUGUCCGACUCUGUUGCCUCCGGGGCGACCCUGCCUUCGGGCGGGGGCUCCGGGUGGACACUUCAAACUCUUGCGUAACUUUGCAGUCUGAGUAAACUUAAUUAAUAAAUUAAAACUUUUAACAACGGAUCUCUUGGUUCUGGCAUCGAUGAAGAACGCAGCGAAAUGCGAUAAGUAAUGUGAAUUGCAGAAUUCAGUGAAUCAUCGAAUCUUUGAACGCACAUUGCGCCCCCUGGUAUUCCGGGGGGCAUGCCUGUUCGAGCGUCAUUUCACCACUCAAGCCUCGCUUGGUAUUGGGCAACGCGGUCCGCCGCGUGCCUCAAAUCGUCCGGCUGGGUCUUCUGUCCCCUAAGCGUUGUGGAAACUAUUCGCUAAAGGGUGUUCGGGAGGCUACGCCGUAAAACAACCCCAUUUCUAAGGUUGACCUCGGAUCAGGUAGGGAUACCCGCUGAACUUAAGCAUAUCAAUAAGCGGAGGAAAAGAAACCAACAGGGAUUGCUCUAGUAACGGCGAGUGAAGCAGCAAUAGCUCAAAUUUGAAAUCUGGCGUCUUCGACGUCCGAGUUGUAAUUUGUAGAGGAUGCUUCUGAGUGGCCACCGACCUAAGUUCCUUGGAACAGGACGUCAUAGAGGGUGAGAAUCCCGUAUGCGGUCGGAAAGGCGCUCUAUACGUAGCUCCUUCGACGAGUCGAGUUGUUUGGGAAUGCAGCUCUAAAUGGGAGGUAAAUUUCUUCUAAAGCUAAAUAUUGGCCAGAGACCGAUAGCGCACAAGUAGAGUGAUCGAAAGAUGAAAAGCACUUUGGAAAGAGAGUUAAAAAGCACGUGAAAUUGUUAAAAGGGAAGGGAUUGCAACCAGACUUGCUCGCGGUGUUCCGCCGGUCUUCUGACCGGUCUACUCGCCGCGUUGCAGGCCAGCAUCGUCUGGUGCCGCUGGAUAAGACUUGAGGAAUGUAGCUCCCUCGGGAGUGUUAUAGCCUCUUGUGAUGCAGCGAGCGCCGGGCGAGGUCCGCGCUUCGGCUAGGAUGCUGGCGUAAUGGUCGUAAUCCGCCCGUCUUGAAACACGGACCAAGGAGUCUAACAUCUAUGCGAGUGUUCGGGUGUCAAACCCCUACGCGUAAUGAAAGUGAACGGAGGUGAGAACCGCAAGGUGCAUCAUCGACCGAUCCUGAUGUCUUCGGAUGGAUUUGAGUAAGAGCAUAGCUGUUGGGACCCGAAAGAUGGUGAACUAUGCCUGAAUAGGGUGAAGCCAGAGGAAACUCUGGUGGAGGCUCGCAGCGGUUCUGACGUGCAAAUCGAUCGUCAAAUUU